rnacentral:tRNA from 1 species
UGGGUUGUGGCUCAGUGGUAGAGCACUUGUCUCGCAGGUAUGAGGCCCUGGGUUCAAACCUCAGCACCACAU